UACGUAGGGUGCGAGCGUUGUCCGGAAUUAUUGGGCGUAAAGAGCUCGUAGGCGGCUUGUCGCGUCGAUGUGAAAUCCCGAGGCUCAACCUCGGGCCUGCAGUGGGUACGGGCAGACUGGAGUGCGGUAGGGGAGAAUGGAAUUCCUGGUGUAGCGGUGGAAUGCGCAGAUAUCAGGAGGAACACCGAUGGCGAAGGCAGUUCUCUGGGCCGUAACUGACGCUGAGGAGCGAAAGCGUGGGGAGCGAACAGG
rnacentral:rRNA from 1 species